CAAGAGACAGAUCACCCUCUUUGCUUUUCCCUCACAUGAGACAUAGGAACUGGGAAGUCUCCAAGUAGAAAAUUUCCCAUUGGCAUUUAGAUGCAAAUCUCCCACGUCCCAUGCUCAUGUUCCCCACCUCUUGAAGCCAAAGCAUCGUCACAGCUGAAGACAUCUCCUGUGCACCUCUUCCUAAUCUGAGUCCGUCUCAUCUAGUACCAGACACAAAAGGCAGGCAUAUGGCUUGGAGCACGACAUGACCAAUAUUCAUGCUCACUUUAGAAGCCACUUCGAUGAUGUUAGAAAGAGAGAAGAAAAUAAUCUGAAGGAAUAUGUACUAUAAAAAAGAAAAGACAGCCCGGUGCACGAAACUCCCGCCAUGCGGGGUCCCAGGGAAAAAUCCAUUGUAAUGAGGAAACGGAAGGACUUGAUGGAUGAGCUUUCUUGUACUGACAGCGCAUACCCGAGGGCCUCUUUUAUUUGUCUAAGUUUCUACAUGCGUUAGGAUGUUGGGUCCUCCCGUCGGAGUCGAGUCAUGUGAUUGAUAGUCGGUUUAAGUUCCUUUCACUAGUUGGUUGCACUUUCUGCUCUCAUAAGAAUCUAUUUACUAUUAUGAUAUCAAAAACAAAUUGUUUUCUUUUUGGUUUCAUGUUGGACUAGUUCGUAAUGCAUAAUCUUUGAAGUUGGUUGUUUAAUUCAGAUCUCUUUAAUGUUGGUAAUGCAUGUUUGGUGA